AAAUUGUGGCAUAUACCUGGGCCCAGCUCACAACCACAAUGAUGACUCUCUUACCUGGACACAGACAGUGGGAGAUAUUUUGACUUUUGUAGCCAGGCUUAGGCCAUAGGUGGUUUGGUGACUCUCGAACCAUGAUUCGGCAGACCUGUGAGGCUGUGAGUUCCCUAUUGGAACACAAUCUGCAGGUUGUAUUGUGCCAUAUACCUGGGACCAAAUUACAAGCACAAUGAUGAAUUUUUUACCUGGAGUCAAGACAUGUGCAGGAUGGUGGAACUUAUCACUGGACCUUUCCACAGUGUUAUUAUGACAUAUAACUUUGUCCAACAUAUGGAGUCUUACUCUGUCGCCCAGGCUAGAGUGUAAUGGUG
rnacentral:lncRNA from 1 species